rnacentral:lncRNA from 1 species
AACUAUUGGAUACGUCCUGGCUUCCAAUCUUACCUUGUUACUGGGAUGACGGAAAGCUUCACAAAUUUUGUUUCUGUUGAAAAUGAGUAAAUAAUUGGGGAGGAGAACUUGGCCGACGUGAGAGGCAGCAGCCGUCUGAGAGGCCAACUUGGGCCACAGAACUAGGACUUCAGAUUGUGCACAGAUGUGCUGAAGUAUGGGAAACUCCACUUCGUGAG